rnacentral:rRNA from 1 species
GACGAACCGUGCGAACGUUAUUCGGAAUCACUGGGCUUAAAGCGCGUGUAGGCGGGCCGCCACGUCGGCUGCUGAAAUCCCCCGGCUCAACCGGGGAAGUGGCACCGAUACGAGCGGCCUCGAGGGGGGGUAGGGGGGUCUGGAACUUCCGGUGGAGCGGUGAAAUGCGUUGAGAUCGGAAGGAACGCCCGUGGCGAAAGCGAGGCCCUGGACCCUUACUGACGCUGAGACGCGAAAGCCAGGGGAGCGAACGGGG